rnacentral:rRNA from 1 species
UACAGAGGGGGCAAGCGUUGUUCGGAAUUACUGGGCGUAAAGGGCGCGUAGGCGGCCUGUUAAGUCUGUCGUGAAAUCCCCGGGCUCAACCUGGGAAUGGCGAUGGAUACUGGCGAGCUAGAGUGUGUCAGAGGAUGGUGGAAUUCCCGGUGUAGCGGUGAAAUGCGUAGAGAUCGGGAGGAACAUCAGUGGCGAAGGCGGCCAUCUGGGACAACACUGACGCUGAAGCACGAAAGCGUGGGGAGCAAACAGG